CAGCAGCCACGGGAAUACGGAGGGAGCUAGCGUUGUUCGGGAUUACUGGGCGUAAAGCGCGCGUAGGCGGUUACUCAAGUCAGAGGUGAAAGCCCGGGGCUCAACCCCGGAACUGCCUUUGAAACUAGGUGACUAGAAUCUUGGAGAGGUCAGUGGAAUUCCGAGUGUAGAGGUGAAAUUCGUAGAUAUUCGGAAGAACACCAGUGGCGAAGGCGACUGACUGGACAAGUAUUGACGCUGAGGUGCGAAAGCGUGGGGAGCAAACAGGAUUAGAUACCCCCGUAGUCCCUGUCUCUUAUAC
rnacentral:rRNA from 1 species